CCGGUGGUGCGGCUUUAGAUGGAGCUGGUACUAAGACCCAGGACUUCUGGGGCUUGAAGACCCUGGGUCUGCGGGAAGCCCCUGCUGAGCGUCCCUCGCCUACCCCGUGGCCAGUGGCUUUUCAGUGCAGAAACUACCUUAUCUAUGUGACAAAGCUCAGGCCAUCAGUGGCAAGGUAGAUUGGCAUCACGUACCCUUGAUACAACAACCUGAGAAGGACAUCACUUCUGCGAUAUUCCUGCCAAAAAUGCAUCUCCGCAUUCCGAUCGUGAGAACAUCCUGGGCACACCCAAACUGAGAGACACCAUACAAAGUGACUGGUCAGUGCACUCAAAGGCAAAAAGCUCAUGGAAGGCAAGAGAAGACGGGAGAAGUGACAGCUAAAAGCAGCGUGGAAUCCUGGAAGGGACAAAGAACACGAGCAGAGAAACUGUAGAAGCUGAGUGAGGGCAGCGGUCCAGCUCGCGCUGUUUUGCCGGGCCUCAGGUUUUCCUUAGGAUUCCGUGUGUGCUCCCCGCCUGGCCCCUCCACAGUGACUCUGCUGUCAGUGGCUGCCCCAGGGUGGAGAGUGACCUACCUCUGGCUUCUCCUGUCCCGGCCUCUCCUGUGCCAGCCGGUCAGGCACACUGUAAGAUCCCCACAGCGGGGUGCCCACACCCUCACCCGGACCCUACACCAUCACCAUCACACCUUCUCGUGUGUCAUAAACCCCACAACACAUUGUUAUGAUUUUUGCUUUAAAUCAAUUAUCUUUUAAAGGGAUUAAAAUAAUGUGAGCUGUGAA
rnacentral:antisense_RNA from 1 species